rnacentral:rRNA from 1 species
GACGAACCGAGCGAACGUUGUUCGGAAUCACUGGGCUUAAAGGGCGCGUAGGCGGGCUGUCAAGUCUGGGGUGAAAUCCCGCGGCUCAACCGUGGAACUGCCUCAGAUACUGACGGCCUCGAGGGGGAUAGGGGCGAGCGGAACGGAUGGUGGAGCGGUGAAAUGCGUUGAUAUCAUCCGGAACUCCGGUGGCGAAGGCGGCUCGCUGGAUCUCUUCUGACGCUGAGGCGCGAAAGCUAGGGGAGCAAACGGG